CGGGAAGUAGCUCAGCUUGGUAGAGCACAUGGUUUGGGACCAUGGGGUCGCGGGUUCGAAUCCUGUCUUCCCGACCA
rnacentral:tRNA from 1 species